ACACGCUUGCGGCGUGCCUAAGAAAUGCAAGUCGAACGGGGGCUUCGGCCCCAGUGGCGAACGGUCGCGUAACACGUAAGCAACCUGCCCUGAAGUGGGGGACAACAUCCCGAAAGGGGUGCUAAUACCGCAUGUGGUCACGAGUCGGCAUCGACUUGUGUCUAAAGAUUUAUCGCUUCAGGAUGGGCUUGCGGCCUAUCAGGUAGUUGGUGGGGUAAUGGCCUACCAAGCCGACGACGGGUAGCUGGUCUGAGAGGACGAUCAGCCGGAUUGGGACUGAGAUACGGCCCAGACUCCUACGGGGGGCAGCAAUUAGGAAUCUUGCGCAAUGGGGGAAACCCUGACGCAGCGACGUCGCGUGAAGGAUGAAGGCCCUCGGGUCGUAAACUUCUUUUGAGUGGGAAGAGAUUUGACGGUACCACUCGAAUAAGCCCCGGCUAACUACGUG
rnacentral:rRNA from 1 species